UUAUUCAGAUUGAAAUCGACAACUAGACCAAAAAAAAACAGAGGAGGGUGACAAAAAAAAAACAGAGGAGGACGAAGAAGAUGAAGGGAAGCCAAAGCUUGAAGCAAAGGCUGCUUCUUUGGAGUUUCGACACUUUCUUCAACACCUAUCUUUAUUGAUGAGAUUAGUGCCGACGACAUGAUCCCUGCUCUCCGCCCUCACGAAGUUAAUCUUCUCCGCCACUUAGAAACUGUCACCGAUGACGCUGUCGUUGAGAUUAACGAGACCGGGAUUCAAUAAAGUACAAGCAUGUAAUUAUAAUGGGAGGGAAGAACUUGGUUCACAGCUGCGCUAUGAGUCGAUUAGUUGGCUAUUAUCUUGAGCCAUUGCUUGUGUUGGGUUUAUUUGAAAAGAAGCCUCUUUCGAUUAGGCUCAGAGUUUUAGUUUUGUAGGAAUUACAAAUGAUCCAAGAGGACCUUGACACAUUCCGUUCCACUACUUUUGUAUAUCAUAAAGCUUUUUGGAGUCCAUGCAGAAGCUUUGGAGCUUGAAUUCGAAGCUUGUGGAUUAGCUCAAGAUGGAGGUGGAGAAGCUCUCUUAACAGUUCCAACUGUUAAGACUCUAACUCUAAAGAAACAGUGCAACAGACUGGAGAAACGAGACCUAUGACAUAUGUAUGAGAUCAUUCAUCGAACUCGAAACCUAAGAUGUGAAGCGGAGGAUUUAUAUCUUUGGUCUUGGAAGUUGGGGAAUCCAUUUGUGUGCUCUGUUUCUGAGGUAGGUAGGUAGGUAGGUAACUUGGGUGUGUUAACAUAGUGGAUGCCCUGAAAUUAUAUGGAUAGCUUUGUUUGUAUUUCUCAUAGCAGAACAAAGAUGAAGAAUAUGUUGUCAAGCUCUUAGACAAGUAAACAUAUUUGUAAUUACUGUUUCU